rnacentral:rRNA from 1 species
ACAAUGCGGGACUGUUAGUCUUGCAAUUGGAUUGAGAACAACGUACAACUCUUAUCGAUAAGCCAUUGGAGGGCAAGUCUGGUGCCAGCAGCCGCGGUAAUUCCAGCUCCAAUAGCGUAUAUUAACGUUGUUGCAGUUAAAAAGCUCGUAGUUGAAGUGAGGGAGUGUGUGGGUAUGAGAGCUAGUCUCAAGUACUUACAACCUCCCCCCUCCAAUCGGUGUAGUGGGGUAUUCAGUUAUUCUACUACUCCUUUGGUCGUUUACUGUGAGAAAAUUAGAGUGUUCAAAGCGGGCGUUUGUUUGAAUAGAUUAGCAUGGAAUAAUGAUUGAAGGCUUUCGUGUUCGAUUUGAUUGGUUUGUUCAUGGAAGCAAGGUUAAAAGGAACAGUUGGGGGUAUUCAUAUUCACUAGUUAGAGGUGAAAUUCUCGGAUUUAUGGAAGAUGAAA